rnacentral:tRNA from 1 species
GGAGUGUUGGCAGAGAGGUCUAUUGCAGCGCUUUGCUAAAGCGCCGGUGAUAUAUUUUCACCCGUUGGUUCAAAUCCAACACACUCCUCCA